CGAACUGUUGCCAUUUCAGACGGCCAUUGGCCUAGUUGUGCUUCUUGUCCCAAUGUUUCGUCCUAUAUUGGAUAAUCUUUUGGAGCGAUUUCCAAAGUAAUGGUCGUUAACGAAAGUUACUUAGUGUGAGCUCUUAGAGGUGAUCUGUCCAUUAUGGGGCUAAUUUUGCCAUUUUAGCGGUGCAACGUAUAUUCGAAGACAACGCACCUUCGAUGAACACAAUAUCUACUUUCAAAGGGUCAGUCAGCGACAACAGAUGAAAUUCAUUUGUGAGAGUUCUGCUACUUUUCAUUAAUUUUUUGAACUAUGAAAUUAAAAUCAAGAGUUUUUUUUAUUCAUUCAGUAGAAAUAGAAUGCGUUUCGAGAGAUAAUAUACCAGAUUUUGUCGAAGGUUUUACGCGUAUCAUCUUAGCGUCGGGUCAUUUAUUGGCGCUAAAACGUUCCGAGGCAAGUAUUGGUGAAUAGAAAUUUAGUUUUCGUUCUAGGACUGCUCCUCUUAAGAACGCCAUAAGCCCAUCUUUUCAGUUAAGGCCUAUGAAAACUUGUCGUAAGAAAUUUUAGGUAAAUAUUAAGCCAUCAGAUAGACUUCAAAAUAUUUUUUACAAUUUUAAUUCUUAUCGUCGACACACCCUGCGAGCGCUAAGUCGGUUUCCUUACGGAACAAUUGUUUACGUGUUGUUUCACAGUUCAGUAAUAGAGUUUAUACGGUUUACUCGAAUCUUUCCUUUAUGAAGGAUAAAUUUUUAAAAAAUAGAAUGCUACUCUUUCCUGAAAUUCAAAUAUUUUCUCAGUUUUAUUUUAAGGAAAUUGUUUGAUUUUGAAUGUUUGAAUUUUCACCUUUCGAAUUCCCAACCGUACACUAGACGUGUUUUGCAUAUGUAAUGACUUCUUGUACCUUCUAUUAUAUUUAGGAUUUCUAAAGAUUUAUGCGUUCCUGUUUUAAAAAUUCGUGAAUAUUAACUUUUUGAGAGCCUCAAAAAUUUUCCAUCAAAUGGAAAUAUUUCUAUGUUGUCAAUUUUAAGUGGCAAAAUGUGUUUGUGCGAGAGAUGUCAGGCAAACUAUUCAUGUCUAGCUUGAGUGAAUUAAUAAUGAUUUUCAGAUAAUCAAAUGAGCCCUCAUCUUCAACAUAGAUAUAAUUUAUUAGUCAUAACUUCUGCAUUGCUUUUAUUUUUGUCUACCAUUUGAAAAAACAAAGGAAAUGUUUCUUUAAUUUGGAAUGCUCAGAAAAUUUAAGAUAUUUAUGCUGGAAUAUUAUUUUGACUGUUUUUUUUUAUUUUUGUUUUAUGGAUAUUAUCUCAAUCAAGGAGGGCAUUUGUUAAAGAUUUCUGCGCUGAUCUUUUGCUUUAUUUGCUAAAGUAAAAGUCAAGUCAGGAAUCUCUAAAAAAAGGAGUUUUAAUCCUAGGUAUAACAUUUUUAAAACAAUUUCAACUGAAUUUUCCUUCUUGGUAGAUCAGUCAUUAUGACAACAAGAUCUCUAGAUGAGAUAAUUUUAACCAAAUGACUUGUUCCAAACUUAUUAUAACCUUACAUUCAUGCAAAUUUUUUAGCAAAAAAGUAUUUUGGAGCAAUUAUUUAUAACCAUAAAUAAAUUGACUCUUUACACCCUAACAUCGAUGAGCAUAUUCUCCAUACUGCUCUCCAUAAAUUUCUUAUGUUACUGAAAAGGAGAAUUUUCCUAACAUUCAAGCUGCUUCUAUCAUUGCCAACCAUUUUUUUCAUGGUCAUACUCUUAACCCUUUGAGCUGCAAUAUCAACAUGUAUAUUCUCAUCACUGUUCUCGAUUAGUUUCUUAUUUUACAGAUUGAGAGAAUUUGUUCAAACAUCAAGACAUUUCAUCUUUGAUAAUCAUUUCAUUCUUGUGAUCUGCACAUUUGAUCAGGUAGUGAUAUUGUUCGGAGAAAUUAGAUUCUGGUCACUACUGGGGCUAAAAGGGUUGAUGUUGAUACAGGGGUGAUACUGUAGGGAUAAAUUAGAUAUGAGUCACUCUUAGGGUUUCCAUCAGGUUGUACCAAAGAGAAGUCAGACUGCAUUUACUAAAAGAUAUUGAUAAAAGAUGGAUAAGAAUUAGA